AUUGAACGCUGGCGGCAGGCCUAACACAUGCAAGUCGAGCGGAUGAAGGGAGCUUGCUCCUGGAUUCAGCGGCGGACGGGUGAGUAAUGCCUAGGAAUCUGCCUGGUAGUGGGGGAUAACGUCCGGAAACGGGCGCUAAUACCGCAUACGUCCUGAGGGAGAAAGUGGGGGAUCUUCGGACCUCACGCUAUCAGAUGAGCCUAGGUCGGAUUAGCUAGUUGGUGGGGUAAAGGCCUACCAAGGCGACGAUCCGUAACUGGUCUGAGGGGAUGAUCAGUCACACUGGAACUGAGACACGGUCCAGACUCCUACGGGAGGCAGCAGUGGGGAAUAUUGCACAAUGGGCGAAAGCCUGAUCCAGCCAUGCCGCGUGUGUGAAGAAGGUCUUCGGAUUGUAAAGCACUUUUAGUUGGGAGGAAGGGCAGUAAGUUAAUCCCUUGCUGUUUUGACGUUACCAACAGAAUAAGCACCGGCUAACUUCGUG
rnacentral:rRNA from 1 species